AUGGCGUAUAAUCCGCUAUUUGAGUUCUCAAGUGCGUCAUCGCUUCACAUAUCAUGGCGGCUUUGCUUGUGAAGAAGUGCGCGUUACCGGUCAUUUUCAGGACGCUUUCAGCUCCUCAGUUGUGGAUGCAAUGUGGGUAUCACGAGAAGGUUGUGGACCACUAUGAGAGCCCAAGAAAUGUAGGGUCUUUGGAUAAAAAUGCCAAGAAUGUGGGCACAGGGUUGGUUGGUGCCCCUGCGUGUGGAGAUGUGAUGAAACUGCAGGUAAUUCCGUCUUGCCUAACAAUAGACCGCUUUACUGAGCUUCCUAAAUGGUAAUUUUUUGUCCGACUGGGUAUGUUCACUAUUGUAGGCUUAUUAACUGUCAUUUUAUAGCACAGGUAUUUGAUGACAAGCAUGUUUGUAUUUGUGACAUGAAACAAUGCAUAGGCUAUAAAAGGGAAACAUACUAAACAUUUAUUGCAUCCUUACACAAAUCAAAAAAAAAAGUGUAGUAUUUAAGUAGGUGAAUCUUUCAGGAUCUUAAUUCUCUGUCACAUGACUGAAGCCUCGGAUUGGGUUGAGUGCUUACACAGGAUGAGUCUGCAUAUUUUAGAUUAUCCUAUUUAUUAUUUAUUUGAUGGGGACAAUACAGAAUCUAAUACUUGUAGCACUUGUCCCUGCUACUAGGGACCCAAUAAAUGCAAUAACCUACAAACAAUAUAUAGUUUAUAACAAAGUAAUUCAAUAAUGAUUU